AACUUUCAACAACGGAUCUCUUGGCUCUUGCAUCGAUGAAGAACGCAGCGAAAUGCGAUAAGUAAUGUGAAUUGCAGAAUUCCGUGAAUCAUCAAAUCUUUGAACGCAAAUUGCACUCCUUGGUAUUCCGAGGAGUAUGCUUGGUCGAGGGUUGUU
rnacentral:rRNA from 1 species